AUUGAACGCUGGCGGCAGGCCUAACACAUGCAAGUCGAGCGGAUGAAGGGAGCUUGCUCCUGGAUUCAGCGGCGGACGGGUGAGUAAUGCCUAGGAAUCUGCCUGGUAGUGGGGGAUAACGUCCGGAAACGGGCGCUAAUACCGCAUACGUCCUGAGGGAGAAAGUGGGGGAUCUUCGGACCUCACGCUAUCAGAUGAGCCUAGGUCGGAUUAGCUAGUUGGUGGGGUAAAGGCCUACCAAGGCGACGAUCCGUAACUGGUCUGAGAGGAUGAUCAGUCACACUGGAACUGAGACACGGUCCAGACUCCUACGGGAGGCAGCAGUGGGGAAUAUUGGACAAUGGGCGAAAGCCUGAUCCAGCCAUGCCGCGUGUGUGAUGAAGGUCUUCGGAUUGUAAAGCACUUUAAGUUGGGAGGAAGGACAGUAAGUUAAUACCUUGCUAUUUUGACGUUACCAACAGAAUAAGCACCGGCUAACUUCGUG
rnacentral:rRNA from 1 species